CUCGGGUCCUGGCUGACUACACGUUCCCUCACGGGGGUCAGUGGGUCACAGGUCAGAAACCUGACCGCCCGCCCAGGGAUCAGCCCGUCCUGCUGGAGGCUCAAGAGACGUGGUCAAAGCUCCCCACCCGUGAGGUGUCCUUCUGGCGCAUUCGGCUCAUCCGGACCUUCUCGUAGACAGUGUAGACAGUUGGGCUGCACUCGGGCUUAGGGGGAUGGCAGCUCUCCCUCUCCAUGUCAUUCUGUGAUUCAAGCAGAGUUUAAGGGUGCUCGUGGUCAACAUCAAAGAACCAGGCGCAGAGGGCUUGAGUCUGAGCUUGUACGUAGUGAGCCCCUCCCGAGCAGCCUGGGUUCUCUCCUGCUGCUUCCCCUGCCAAGCUGCGUGCGCUCGGGUCAGUCACACACCUAACUGGGCCUACCUCCUACCCGCGCCUGCUCCGCCAUCCCUCCUCCCCGGGUGGUGGCGAGGACCCGAUGAGAUUGUGUGCAUAGGAGCGAGGCAUCGCCCCGUCCGUGGCCCCCACCCUUCACUCGCCGUUCCAGACACAGCAACGGCAGCAUCCACAGCAAGGACCGGCCCAGAGCCGGAAGAGCUGCCGGAUACCCUGGACCAGCCAGCACUCACAGCCUCUGGGCACCAGUUGGUGGACCAGGUUCAGUUCCCUCGGACCCACCUU